rnacentral:tRNA from 5 species
GCUCAUAUAGCUCAGCGGUAGAGCACUCCCUUGGUAAGGGAGAGGUCUUGAGUUCAAUUCUCAAUAUGAGCU